rnacentral:rRNA from 1 species
AGAGAGAGACAUGCGUGCAUAUCAAUAAGCGGAGGAAAAGAAACUAACUAGGAUUCCCUCAGUAACGGCGAGUGAAGCGGGAAGAGCUCAAAUUUGAAAUCUUCAAGGUUUUACCUUGACGAAUUGUAGUUUAAAGAAGUGUUUUCUGUUGAAGUUUUGGUAAAAGUUCUUUGGAAUAGGACAUCAUAGAGGGUGAGAAUCCCGUAUUUGACCAUUAUUUUCAGCUGUGUGAUACACUUUCAAAGAGUCGGAUUGUUUGGGAAUGCAGUCCAAAAUGGGUGGUAAAUUUCAUCUAAAGCUAAAUAUUGGCGAGAGACCGAUAGCGAACAAGUACCGUGAGGGAAAGAUGAAAAGAACUUUGAAAAGAGAGUUAAACAGUACGUGAAAUUGUCAAAAGGGAAGCGUUUGACACCAGUGUUGUUUUCUCGAAAAUCAAUUAAAAAGGCAGGAUUUUGUUGUUGUAUUGACCUUUAAUCAGCUUCUGCACUUCAAUUUUCUUGUCUUUUUUAAUGCACUUUUCGUUUAACAAGUCAACAUCAAUUUCUUUUGUUGUAAAAGGGUCAUUGGAAGGUGGCUUUCUUUUCGGAGAAAGUGUUUAUAGCCUUUGGCCUCUGCAAUCGGAGAGAUUGAGGUCUGCAGCGUAGAUCCUUCGGGGUUAGAAUAGCAUUUGUGCUAAGUUAUAGCCUUUCAUAGACAACUUGUUGACUAUGAUUCAGUCAUGUAGCUUACUCGCUUAUGCUAUUUUACCUACGCUUAGGAUGUUGAUGUGAUACUGCGAGCA